GCUGCCGUAGCUCAGUGGUAGAGCGCAUCCUUGGUAAGGCUGAGGUCCACAGUUCGAUCCUGUGCGGCGGCGCCA
rnacentral:tRNA from 1 species